CGGGGUCACACUGGCCAAUAAAUAGUGGAACCAAAGAUCGAUAUUUGGUGGAACUGCCGUCCCGUUUACACUAUUCAGGCUCGGAGGUUAGAAUGUUUGGAGGAAGUAGGAGAAGUAAUUUUUAUGUAUAAGAUGAGUUGGAUAUUUUGAAAGACAAAAUAUCAAAUAACAUUGCUGUGUUGAAGAUGAAUAGGCCCUAGCUUGCCAUGGAAAUUUUAACCUAAAAAUCAUUUUAUUCACCAACAUGUCUGUGGCAUAACUAGCUGGGGAACCAGUCAAUUCGAGUAGAUGCCACUUUGAGCGCAUGCUAGUUCAAGCGGAAAAAAGAUUCACUUGUGCGAACAACAGCCUGUGUACCCAACUUCAGCUGAGUAUUCAAGUAUAGUGGAGCAACUACUUACAAAUAUCAACAAAUAUCAUCCGAUACCUCAAAUCAGAAAGGUAGGCCUACAGUUUAUUAUUACUGUAUGCAUGCAUUCUUAACCCAUUAGCACCUACAGUAUAGUUGUAAUGCAUUGUAGUCAGAGAGUUUGCUGUAUAUGAAAGAAAUUAGACUCUACUAC